UACAGAGGGUGCAAGCGUUAAUCGGAAUUACUGGGCGUAAAGCGUGCGUAGACGGUUAUGUAAGUUAGGUGUGAAAGCCCCGGGCUCAACCUGGGAAUUGCAUUUAAGACUGCAUAGCUAGGGUGCGGAAGAGGGAAGCGGAAUUUCCGGUGUAGCGGUGAAAUGCGUAGAUAUCGGAAGGACACCAAAGGCGAAGGCGAGUGUCCUGGCUGGUACCUGACGCUCAGGUGCGAAAGCUGAGGGGAGCGAACGGGGAU
rnacentral:rRNA from 1 species